GUUGUGCUGCAAUAUAAAGUCUAUAACGACUCUCGGCAACGGAUAUCUCGGCUCUCGCAUCGAUGAAGAACGUAGCAUGCUGCGUGUCACAAAUCGUCGUCCCCAUCCUUUGCGGAUAAGGGACGGAAGUUGGUCUCCCGUGUGUUACCGCACGCGGUUGGCCUAAAUA
rnacentral:rRNA from 1 species